rnacentral:rRNA from 1 species
UACGAAGGGGGCUAGCGUUGCUCGGAAUCACUGGGCGUAAAGGGUGCGUAGGCGGGUCUUUAAGUCAGGGGUGAAAUCCUGGAGCUCAACUCCAGAACUGCCUUUGAUACUGAGGAUCUUGAGUUCGGGAGAGGUGAGUGGAACUGCGAGUGUAGAGGUGAAAUUCGUAGAUAUUCGCAAGAACACCAGUGGCGAAGGCGGACUCACUGGCCCGAUACUGACGCUGAGGCACGAAAGCGUG